UUGUGCUUGAUUUCCGACACUUGUCCAAAAUUUCAAUGUUUUGAGUCCCUCCAUUUCGACUUCUACCCUCGUUGAAUUAAUCAGUCUCGUCAAUUUCUCAUUUUCAUUUUUCCUCUCUUCAUCGAGAGAAGCCGCUCUCAUCUUCACCUCUAAUCUCUCCGCGCAUCAGAUGGGGAGGGGGAGCCCAUCACCGUAAACCUCUCUCUGAUCCAAUCUCUCUGCGUCGAUUUGGACGGCCUCUGGUAUAGCAUAAAGUUCUUUAUGGGUUUGAUAUCUUUUACAAAAGCUAGAACUAAGCAAUGCCUAGAGCUUUUGGGAACCCAUUAAUCCCAAAAUAACAAAAACACAGAAUUGGGUGAUUUGGGUCCCUUUUGCAAUCAACAAUGCGCCGAUAAGAGAAGCGACACAAGUUCAAUUAGGCUAUCCAGUUCAAAAGAAAAACAGAAACCAAGGCGGAAAAAAUAAUACCAGGAGAAGCCAGGUGUCAUGAUGUACUCGAAACGGAUCAAAUUUCCUUUAGCGGAGGAGAAGAAUUAGAUCUCAGGUUUGUAUAUAUUCUUGUUCCGAGUAACUUUUGAUGCUUUGGGGGUAUGAUUGAGUAUUGAAUAAUGUAUAGUCCACAGGCUUGUGAUUUUCCUUUUUGAGAACAGAGUACUAUGAUGAUU